GAUGAAGAACGCAGCGAAAUGCGAUAAGUAAUGUGAAUUGCAGAAUUCAGUGAAUCAUCGAAUCUUUGAACGCACAUUGCGCCCGCCAGUAUUCUGGCGGGCAUGCCUGUUCGAGCGUCAUUACAACCCUCAGGCCCCCGGGCCUGGCGUUGGGGAUCGGCGGAGCCCCCCGUGGGCACCCGCCGUCCCCCAAAUGCAGUGGCGGUCCCGCCGCAGCUUCCAUCGCGUAGUAGCUAACACCUCGCGACUGGAGAGCGGCGCGGCCACGCCGUAAAACACCCAACUCUUCUGAAGUUGACCUCGAAUCAGGUAGGAAUACCCGCUGAACUUAAGCAUAUCAAUAAGCGGAGGA
rnacentral:misc_RNA from 1 species